rnacentral:misc_RNA from 1 species
GCAAUUCGGAGGAGGCCUCCUGCCCCUGGUCAGGGGUGAGAACAACAGUGCCAUUCGCUUCAAGGGAGAUUGCAGCCUCACUCUUGUUCACCACCUGCAACUCCGGGCCGACAGUGUCGAGCAUGACAGCACAGAGCUUCUUGGUGGACUUGAUGGCGAGCUUGAGGUUUUCGAGGGUUUCCUGGUGGUACUCAGCGUCUCCCCACGAGAAAUCGAACCUGG